GCACAGGUAGCAAUACCGGGUGGCGACCGGCGCACGGGUGAGUAACGCGUAUGCAACUUGCCUAUCAGAGGGGGAUAACCCGGCGAAAGUCGGACUAAUACCGCAUGAAGCAGGGGCCCCGCAUGGGGAUAUUUGCUAAAGAUUCAUCGCUGAUAGAUAGGCAUGCGUUCCAUUAGGCAGUUGGCGGGGUAACGGCCCACCAAACCGACGAUGGAUAGGGGUUCUGAGAGGAAGGUCCCCCACAUUGGUACUGAGACACGGACCAAACUCCUACGGGAGGCAGCAGUGAGGAAUAUUGGUCAAUGGGCGUAAGCCUGAACCAGCCAAGUCGCGUGAGGGAUGAAGGUUCUAUGGAUCGUAAACCUCUUUUAUAAGGGAAUAAAGUGCGGGACGUGUCCCGUUUUGUAUGUACCUUAUGAAUAAGGAUCGGCUAACUCCGUGCCAGCAGCCGCGGUAAUACGGAGGAUCCGAGCGUUAUCCGGAUUUAUUGGGUUUAAAGGGUGCGUAGGCGGCCUUUUAAGUCAGCGGUGAAAGUCUGUGGCUCAACCAUAGAAUUGCCGUUGAAACUGGGAGGCUUGAGUAUGUUUGAGGCAGGCGGAAUGCGUGGUGUAGCGGUGAAAUGCUUAGAUAUCACGCA
rnacentral:rRNA from 1 species